CCCGCAACGAGCGCAACCCCCGCCGUUAGUUGCCAGCGGUUCGGCCGGGCACUCUAACGGGACUGCCCGCGAAAAGCGGGAGGAAGGAGGGGACGACGUCUGGUCAGCAUGGCCCUUACGGCCUGGGCGACACACGUGCUACAAUGCCCACUACAAAGCGAUGCCACCCGGCAACGGGGAGCUAAUCGCAAAAAAGGUGGGCCCAGUUCGGAUUGGGGUCUGCAACCCGACCCCAUGAAGCCGGAAUCGCUAGUAAUCGCGGAUCAGCCAUGCCCGCGGUCGAAUACGUUCCGGGCCUU
rnacentral:rRNA from 1 species